rnacentral:misc_RNA from 1 species
CGGAAAGCGACGGCAAGGAAUUGAUUGAACGGAUUGAUAAGCGGAUCACAGCUCUUAGCUACCACAUCCGGAACUACUAUUGGCUGGAUUUCACACAACUGAAUAUCAUAUACCGCUAAAAGACUGAGAAAGACUCCCACACUGCUGUCAAUAAUUUCAAUGUCAUCCCAGAGUCUAUCCCUAAUUGGGUGUUUGAUUUCAUGCCUUUAAGAUGAGGUUGGUUAUCUGAUGGGCAAUGUCAGCCCAGCUCGCAUGGACUUUCGAUGGUUCUUAGUUGGAAACUGCAUCGCCAUUUUGAGUUGCUUAGUGACACGUGAACAGGCAACAGCGAUCAUGGAUCUGAUUGAGGAACGAUGGGAGGACUUGAUUGGAGAGAUGCCGUUGAAGAUUACAUACCCGGCACUGGAUUUGAUCCUAAGAACACGAGGUGGAGUUACCACAAUGUCGG